rnacentral:lncRNA from 1 species
CUAAGCUGUCGUUCCACUGUGAUGACACAGUGCUCAGCAAGCUGGACAGCCAUGACAUUAGUCUGAAGAGCACGCAGUAUCCUACGCACGCAAAGAAAUGCUCCUGAAGAAAUUAAUUUGUAAUACCUUUGAUCAUAUCCUAAACCACAGCUGCAGAUAGGUUCACAGCCUCUGCAAUGCUCUGAGGCAGACACCGAGAGAAGGAGUGUUCCAGUCCUCGGCUCCCAAAAUCCUGAGCCUCCAGAGCUCUGUGUGGCGCCUACUCACAGUCCCCACUGCCAGAGGUGAAAGCAAGAGGAAGGAAAUGCUGCUCUUGGAGACCACCAAAGGGGAGAGAAGAUGGGCCCAUUCUGCUGCAGCCACCCAACAAGGCUGUGAAUUUGGGUUAGAGGCAGG